GGUCCGGUAGCUUGGUUGGUAAAGCACUCGACUAGCAUACAAUAGUCGUGGGUUCGAAUCCUACCUGAGCAC
rnacentral:tRNA from 1 species